rnacentral:rRNA from 1 species
AUACGUAGGUGGCAAGCGUUGUCCGGAAUUAUUGGGCGUAAAGCGCGCGCAGGCGGUCCUUUAAGUCUGAUGUGAAAGCCCACGGCUCAACCGUGGAGGGUCAUUGGAAACUGGGGGACUUGAGUGCAGAAGAGGAAAGUGGAAUUCCAAGUGUAGCGGUGAAAUGCGUAGAGAUUUGGAGGAACACCAGUGGCGAAGGCGACUGUCUGGUCUGUAACUGACACUGAGGCGCGAAAGCGUGGGGAGCAAACAGGAUUAGAUCCCCUGGUAGUCCACGCCGUAAACGAUGAGUGCUAAGUGUUGGGGGGUUUCCGCCCCUCAGUGCUGCAGCUAACGCAUUAAGCACUCCGCCUGGGGAGUACGGUCGCAAGACUGAAACUCAAAUGAAUUGACGGGG